GGCUUGGGCUGUUGGAAGUCGAAUGCCACCAUUAAGUAAGUGAAACGGCUCGGUAGAGCAAGGUGGUAGUAGUGGGUGGAAAAAAACCAUUCAUGUUUCAGUUUGUAAUCUUUCCAGAAAAGAAAAGUGGAAGAGCAGUUUGAGAGAGGAGUAUACUGUGUUAUAUUAUUUUCUCAUUUUCUUUGUGAGUUACUAAUUGCUGCAUUAAAUGCAUACAGUUGCUUCUGCCAUUGAAAGCCCCAUGAUGUGAACAUUAUAAGCAUCUUCCUUCCUGGGAGUCUUUGUACAAUACCCAUGCCACUUUUUUAAAAAAAGAAAUCAAGAACCUGUUUUCUGCACAGCUUUUACAAAUAAAAUGAAAUGUUGAGUGCAACAACGCCUGAAGAAAAGAAAGAUGCCCUUUCUCACAGUUAUUUCUAUAUGCACAGGUGUGUAGAGUGGUUAUGAAAAGGAAGUGGGUGGUUUGAUGACAAGUGCAAUACAACAGCCUGUUCCGUAUUUUGAAUUCCCUUAUGUAGCUUUUUUUGUUUGUUUAAAUGCUGUUGAAUUUCAGUCUUAUGUCAUUUUGACUCUCCCCUAUGAUAUUUGGAAAUGUUACCAAGUAACAGAAGCUGUUAUGCACAAGAGUGACGCUCUUGACAUCCGUGGGGUUAGCAACAAAAGAACCUCUUAUGAUGUAAAUAGGCUGGAGAAGGUCAGCCUUAUAAUGUUUCUCAUGGAGACAGGUACUUUCAGCCAAACGGGAGGUAGUGAGAUAUAAGCCUCAUCUGCUGGAGGUCUUGGAAACCAGCAUAGAUCUAUUGUCCAGCCAAAAUCACCAUGGGAAAUGGUUCUAGAAUGUUUGGAGGGGUGGUUUUCUUUUUGUAUGACAAAGGGGAGAAGUGAUAGAGGGUGACAAUACUAAGCAUGUUGUGGAGAUCAAUAGAAGGUCCCCCAUAUAAUUCCCAGUAACUUGGGAUCAUACAAUGAAAGAAAUUGGCAAGAGAUAUCAGACAGGCAAAAGGUUUGGGGGUUACGCUGUGGUCUAAACCACAGAGCCUAGGGCUUGCCGAUCAGAAGGUCGGUGGUUCGAACCCCUGCGACGGGGUGAGCUCCCGUUGCUCAGUCCCAGCUCCUGCCAACCUAGCAGUUCAAAAGCACGUCAAAAUGCAAGUAGAAAAAUAGGUACCGCUCUGGCAGGAAGGUAAACAGUGUUUCCGUGCACUGCUCUGGUUUCACCAGAAGCGGCUUAGUCAUGCCGGCCACAUGACCUGGAAGCUGUACACUGGCUCCCUUGGCCAGUAAAGCGAGAUGAGCGCCGCAACCCCAGAGUCGUUUGCGACUGGACUUAACUGUCAGUAGUCCUUUACCUUUAUAAGACAGGCAAAGAACUUUACAUUGUGCAUAAUUAAUUUAUGGAAUCCACUGCCACAAGAUGUGGUGAAGGCCAUUAUCUUAAAGCAGGAUUAGGCCAGUGUUAUUGGACCCCCAGAUAUUUCCCCAUCAUCCUUGACCACUGACUAAGAUGGCUAGGGAUGAUGGCAGUUGUAGUCCAACCACUUCUGGAGAUUCUGAACUGUGGAUUCACAGAGGAAAACUGUUCUAUCAGUGCUUGCCAGUCACAAUGCAACCACUAGUUUCAGCAACAGCAAACAGAACAGGGGUAUUCCCUUCAUGUCCUAAUGAGCUUUCCAGAGGCAUUUGGUGGGCCAUUAUGAAGAACAAGUCAUUGGUUUAGAAUAGACUGCUAAGUCUUCUCCAGCGUGGCUUCUCUUAUGUUUCCAUGCAUGCAUGAGGCACACACGUGGGGGCACCAUAGUGUUGAAAGAACUAUUUAUUUCUCUUUGAGAGUCACCUUCAGAUUCCACUUGGUCCCCACUUGGACUUGGCAAGCUAUACUAUUGCUGCUGCUGACAUUCCUAAAAGACUGUCAAAAAAAGGUAACAGUAGUUUAAGGGAAAUAUUAUUGGAACAUGGAUAACACCCUCCAAACCACAUCACUGGCCAUAUCAGGUAAUUGCCUUGAUCAAAUGCUGAGGAUCACAGUCUGGCCAUGAAGUCUAUUAUAAAGAGUACUUCAGCCAAGGGUUAGAGGCUUUCCCAGGGUUAGAGGCUUUCAGGGAAUGUCUGUGAGGAAAAAAAUGUGGGAAGCAGACAUAGCUAACUUUAUUUAGUUAGCCUCCAGAAGCUGUACGCCAGUGGUGUUGGGUGCAAUGUUCUCCACUUUUGCAUGCUAUUAGCAAAGAGGCAAAAUGGCUAGAUUGCUAUAUAGCAAUGUGAGCAGCUUGCCUUGUUUGUUAAUAGGAUAUACAAGUGGAAAAUGCACAGGAUGGCUGUAGGACUCGUUAAUAGCAACGUAAACGAGAUAAAUUAAAAUGCAGGUAUUGUGAAAAGUAACUGGCUAGGAAUAAACAAACAAACUGGGUAACAUGUUAAUGGCUUUCCUGUGAAAUUUCUAUUGAUAGGUGUUUGUCAUAGUGACAUUCUGUUUCUCACAAUAAAUAGGGUGGAAAUAGAGAGCUGAUGCAUCAGCUGAAGACAAGAUGAGCAUCUCACCGGAAUUAAACUUGCAUACUUUCAGCAAAAGCUUUGAACUCCAGAAUAACUCUCACAUUUAUUCUUAUAAGAAAUUGUCUUCUAGCCUUCCUCUAAACAUACGUAUAAGUAAGAUGAAAGAACGCCCCAACCCACAACUUUUUGAUAGCUGCCUCCAUAUUAAUCAGCUCCCACACAAAUGCUGGGGAACACUUAAGUAAGCAUCAUGCCACUGCUCGUAUAGCUCAGAAGAUUUC